ACUUUGCUUGUGACGACUUGACCAUGAAAUUAAGUUGGUACAUGCAACCCACUACAGAUUGAUCUAUCGAGUGUAUGUAGGGUUAUCAAAAAUUGUCAUUGGUGUACUUAGUCUAAAUGAGUAGGACGCAUGUGGCUGCUAAUAAUAUGCAAAAUAAGAUUACAAGACAUAUCUACUUGAAUACCCUUCAACCUUGUAAGACUAUAAAUACAUGAUGAUGAUGAUAUCGCCAUGCAUAAGGAAAAUUGUAGUCUCAUAUCACUCACAAAAAAAGAUUUCCUAAUAAUCAUAUCAUAUCAUAAGAUGAAGUCAAUUUUGUUUGCAAUAAUAUUCUUGAUUUUGGUUUCGGUAAUGUUCCUUCCCCCCUCAACACUUGCAGCUCCAGUAGUAGGAAAGCGUGGUGAUAAGAAAGAAGCAUAUAGAAGAGGAGGAAGAAGAGCUCCUAAUUCUUAUAUCGAAAAUAAUCCAUAUGAAGGAGGAAGAGUUGGAGGAGUACAUGCACCUCCUAAUCCUGUUCCCUUUGUUCCUAGACGUCCAUACAGAGGACGAGGAGGAGGACCACCACAUCCACAUCCUAAGCCUCAUGUCUUAUAGAGCUGUUUUCUUAGCUUAAUGUAGUGCUUUAUUCCUAUUCCUCCCUAUUCUUAUAGAGGAACAGCUCCGAAUCCACAUAGAAGAUGUAUUAAUAAUCCAUACAAGUGUUUUUGCUCUCCACCACCUAAUAAUUAAGCAUUUAACAAUUCAUUAAUUAAUUGAGGUCAAAGAAGAAGCAAUAAUAAUAACUCAUAUAUAAAGUGUUUCGUUUUAAUUUGUGUGCCUUAGCUUGUAUCCAAAUGCAUAAACUUGUAAUAUAUUAACUAGCGUGUUAGAUUUGCGCAUCUUGUAAACUUAAUAGUGCCUGUGAAAUAAAACCACAUAUUGGCCUUCAA